rnacentral:misc_RNA from 1 species
AAGCAGUCCUCUGCUCAUUAAAAAGCCAAAUUAGCCAAAUAAUCCAUUUAUGCCAUUUAAAUAAUACAAACCUACAAUGCAUAAGUAUCAAAUCAAUACAAAUGCAGAGUUUCAUUUUUCCACUCAGUUGGCAUGUUGUUCCCUGGAUAACAUGUUUCAAAUCAAGUAAACCCAUACUGUUGCAAAGGCGGUUUUUGGCCAACAAUGAUAAGAGGGAAGUAGACUUUGUAAGCAAUUGGCAAAUAGAGGCAUAGACAUGCAUGAAAAACCAAGCGUUUGGACUUCUAUCAAGCAGUCCUCCUAAGAAGCAAAGCCAACAGAUAGCACAGUACAGAGUCGACUGAUGAUAGCGCAACAAUGAGCAGUGCCACAAUAACCAGCGUAAGGGUUGCAGUCUUCAGAGUGCUUUGGAAGCUUGGCCAUUCUAUGUACUUCAGCUGACCAGGCUGCUCAACCAGAAAUGAAAAUAGUGAUUUUGUACCCCAGAUGACUUCCUUAAUAAGAGUCAGAAAAAAAGGUUCUUGAGGCAAGUCAUCUUCAUAUCUCAACUGAUAUUGAUUCCUUCCUGCAAACAAAACAUGCUUGUUGCUAGACGGCUUUGCAGGAAUAUAUUGAAUCCUUCCUCCAGGAAUCCUUUGAGAUAGCUUAAUGACAUUGUCAUCAUUAAAUUUGAUUUCAUUACAUCUUCGAAUCCCAAAAGGUUGUUUAGAAUGAUGAAUGACCAAACCUAUGAAAGACAAGGUAAUGAAUUUAAGGAACAAUUAACACAAAAAUUAAUUGACAAAUAAUUUUGCAAUUUAGGCGUGUUUAAGGCAAAAAGAAAUGGACACCAUCCACCUCAUUUCAAGAUUUCCUUUCCUACUAUUUCAUUUUGGAGUAUCAAAUAAUCAGAGGGAAAUUUCUUCAAUUAUAAUUAAAAUUUGGUUUCAGACUCACCUAAAUCAAUUGAACUCCUUUAUAGAAAUAAUUACAUUUCAAUUUGAUUUCUAGAACUAAUGAAAUGGUCACAAAAUUUAGACUCAGAUAAUCAUGAAAAU